CUAAGAAUCUUCCGCAAUGGGCGAAAGCCUGACGGAGCGACGCCGCGUGAACGAUGAAGGCCGUGAGGUUGUAAAGUUCUUUUCGGGAGGAGGAAUAAGUGCGGCAGGCAAUGGCCGCGCGAUGACGUCAAUCCCGGAAUAAGCCCCGGCUAACUACGUGCCAGCAGCCGCGGUAACACGUAGGGGGCGAGCGUUGUUCGGAAUCAUUGGGCGUAAAGGGCGUGCAGGCGGCCCUGCAAGUCUGGCGUGAAAAGCCCCGGCUCAACCGGGGAGACGCGCUGGAAACUGCGGGGCUAGAGUACAGGAGGGGAUGCCGGAAUUCCAGGUGUAGGGGUGAAAUCUGUAGAUAUCUGGAGGAACACCAAUGGCGAAGGCAGGCAUCUGGCCAUGUACUGACGCUGAGACGCGAAGGUGCGGGGAGCAAACAGGUUUAGAUACCCUGGUAGUCCGCACAGUAAACGAUGUUCACUAGGUGGCGGGGGGUCGACCCUCGGUACCGGAGCUAACGCAUUAAGUGAACCGCCUGGGGAGUAUGCUCGCAAGGGUGAAACUCAAAGGAAUUGACGGAGACGUCUACU
rnacentral:rRNA from 1 species